AUUGAACGCUGGCGGCAGGCCUAACACAUGCAAGUCGAGCGGAUGAAGGGAGCUUGCUCCUGGAUUCAGCUGCGGACGGGUGAGUAAUGCCUAGGAAUCUGCCUGGUAGUGGGGGAUAACGUCCGGAAACGGGCGCUAAUACCGCAUACGUCCUGAGUGAGAAAGUGGGGGAUCUUCGGACCUCACGCUAUCAGAUGAGCCUAGGUCGGAUUAGCUAGUUGGUGGGGUAAAGGCCUACCAAGGCGACGAUCCGUAACUGGUCUGAGAGGAUGAUCAGUCACACUGGAACUGAGACACGGUCCAGACUCCUACGGGAGGCAGCAGUGGGGAAUAUUGGACAAUGGGCGAAAGCCUGAUCCAGCCAUGCCGCGUGUGUGAAGAAGGUCUUCGGAUUGUAAAGCACUUUAAGUUGGGAGGAAGGGCAGUAAGUUAAUACCUUGCUGUUUUGACGUUACCAACAGAAUAAGCACCGGCUAACUUCGUG
rnacentral:rRNA from 1 species